rnacentral:rRNA from 1 species
UACGUAGGUGGCAAGCGUUGUCCGGAUUUAUUGGGUUUAAAGGGUGCGUAGGCGGCCCUGUAAGUCAGUGGUGAAAUACUCUAGCUUAACUAGAGGGGUGCCAAUGAUACUGCAGGGCUUGAGUACAGAUGAGGUAGGCGGAAUUGACGGUGUAGCGGUGAAAUGCAUAGAUAUCGUCAAGAACACCUAUAGCGAAGGCAGCUUACUGGGCUGUAACUGACGCUGAGGCACGAAAGUGUGGGGAUCAAAACAGG